UACGUAGGGUGCAAGCGUUAAUCGGAAUUACUGGGCGUAAAGCGUGCGCAGGCGGUUUUCCAAGACAGAUGUGAAAUCCCCGGGCUCAACCUGGGAAUGGCAUUUGUGACUGGAAGGCUAGAGUGUGUCAGAGGGGGGUAGAAUUCCGACGUGUAGCAGUGAAAUGCGUAGAGAUGUGGAGGAAUACCGAUGGCGAAGGCAGCCCCCUGGGAUAACACUGACGCUCAUGCACGAAAGCGUGGGGAGCAAACAGG
rnacentral:rRNA from 1 species